rnacentral:rRNA from 1 species
AACGAACGCUGGCGGCAUGCCUAACACAUGCAAGUCGAACGAGACCUUCGGGUCUAGUGGCGCACGGGUGCGUAACGCGUGGGAACCUGCCCUUAGGUUCGGAAUAACUCCCCGAAAGGGGUGCUAAUACCGGAUAAUGUCUUCGGACCAAAGAUUUAUCGCCUUUGGAUGGGCCCGCGUUGGAUUAGCUAGUUGGUAGGGUAAAAGCCUACCAAGGCGACGAUCCAUAGCUGGUCUGGGAGGAUGAUCAGCCACACUGGGACUGAGACACGGCCCAGACGCGGAGGGGGGGAAGGAGGUGGUAAGUGUGCAGAAGGGGCGGCUGCCGGCCAUACGUAUGCGUGGUGGGUGAUGACGGCCGUGGUGGUGGCGUGCUCUUCGACCCGGUAAGAUAUUGCUAGUGCGGGGAGAAUAACCGCAGGCCAACCCCGCGCCACCGGCCGCGGUAACCCUCGGAGGACCAUCCGCCUGCCC